rnacentral:rRNA from 1 species
UACGUAGGGUGCGAGCGUUGUCCGGAAUUAUUGGGCGUAAAGGGCUCGUAGGCGGUCUGUCACGUCGGGAGUGAAAACUCAGGGCUUAACCCUGAGCCUGCUUCCGAUACGGGCAGACUAGAGGUAUGCAGGGGAGAACGGAAUUCCUGGUGUAGCGGUGAAAUGCGCAGAUAUCAGGAGGAACUCCGGUGGCGAAGGCGGGAUCCUGGGCCAGUACUGACGCUGAGGAGCGAAAGCGUGGGGAGCAAACAGG